rnacentral:rRNA from 1 species
UACGUAGGGUGCGAGCGUUAAUCGGAAUUACUGGGCGUAAAGCGUGCGCAGGCGGUUCGUUGUGUCGGCGGUGAAAGCCCCGGGCUCAACCUGGGAAUGGCCGUUGAAACCGGCGAACUGGAGUGUGGCAGAGGGGGGGGUGGAAUUCCGCGUGUAGCAGUGAAAUGCGUAGAGAUGCGGAGGAACACCGAUGGCGAAGGCAGCCCCCUGGGCUGACACUGACGCUCAGGCACGAAAGCGUGGGGAGCAAACAGG